rnacentral:rRNA from 1 species
AUUGAACGCUGGCGGCAGGCCUAACACAUGCAAGUCGAGCGAGCGGCGGACGGGUGAGUAAUGUAUGGGGACUGCCCGAUAGAGGGGGAUAACUACUGGAAACGGUGGCUAAUACCGCAUACUAUCGGAUAACCCAUAUGGGAUUAGCUAGUAGGGGGGGUAAAGGCUCACCUAGGCGACGAUCUCUAGCUGGUCUGAGAGGAUGAUCGGCCACACUGGACCUGAGCAACGGCCCAGCUUCCUCCGGAGGCAGCGGUGGGAAAUAUUGCACAAUGAGGGCAAGCCUGAUGCAGACAUGCCGCGUGUAUGAAGAGGGCCUUGGGGUUGAAAGGUCCUUUCAGCGGGGAGGCGUUACCCGCAGAGGAAGCACCGGCUAACUACGUGCCAGCAGCCGCGGUAAUUC